rnacentral:rRNA from 1 species
UAUAAACAGCUACCAUUUAGCGUACCUUUUGCAGCAUGGGUCAGCGACUCAAGAUUCAUGAGAUAGGUGAAAAACCUAAUGAGAUUUUU